UCCGGCCAUUCCGGCCUUGAAUAGAACGAAUUUUAAAACAUUGGUAUAAACUCCCAUGCUAAUCUGCUUUAUAAAGGUUUGAAAAAUUGGAGGGCAGGCCAUUUUUUAUUUCAGAUGCUGAGUAUGUUGUGUUUCAUUCUCCAUAAAACAAGCUUGUGCAGAAAAGUUUUGCUCGCUUGUUCUUUAACGAUUUCUUGAGGAACAGCAGCUUUGUUGAUGAGGCUGCAAGAGAAAAGCUAGCCCCAUUUUCAGCACUUGCUGGUGAUGACAGCUGUCAGAACCGGGAUCUUGAAAAAGUAAGCUUAAUAGUCUCACUAUGAGCUGGCUAUGAAACUUUGUUGCUGCAUGCUGUCAGGCAACUCAGCAAGUUGCUAAAAGUCAAUAUGAUGCGAUGACGACCUUAAUCCUAAUCCCGAAACAAGUUGGUAACCUGUACACUGUAUCUCUUUAUGCAGCUUUUGCAUCCCUUAUUCACAACAAGCAUAGCUCACUGGCAGGUAAGCGGGUAGUUAUGUUUUCAUAUGGGAGUGGUUUGACUGCAACAAUGUUCUCAUUCCAACUUUGAGAAGGUCAUCAUCCUUUCAGCUUGUCAAACAUUGCGAACGUGAGGAAUAUUUCUGGAAAGUUGAAAUCAAUAGGUGUAUGCUUUCGUAUACCUCUAGUGUCCUUGGGUUGUGUCUAUCUUUAUAUUAAUGAAAUAUCUUAUUACUUAUGAAAAAAAAGGGAAGUUGAAAUCAAGACUUGAGGUAUCUCUCCUUAAUAGAAACACGAUAAGAGAGGAAAUGUAAAAGCUGUGUAUAUUCUUCAUAUUUAUCUGCUUGUACAGUAGUGGUAUUUAUACACAUAGUAGUCUGAUUAUUGUUAUAACCGUAAGGGUCAUAUAUGACAAUACACAACAUAUUCUAGACUAUUCUGCUCCUUAAUGCUGAGGUGGUGCAGAGGUUGAGUUGGCCUUGGCAUCUUUUGUGAUAUGGUUAACAUCCCCCUGCGAGCCAAGCAGUCCUGGAAGGAUUGUGAGGCUUGACCGAAGUGUGCAGAACCUUGAGACAUAAAGUGGCUUUGUAAAGAUAUCAGCAAGUUGAUCCUUGCUUGAGAGAAAUGAUAUUUGAAGAGUUUUGGCAUGAAUGCGAUCCCGAAAAAAAUGAAAAUCAAUAUCAACAUGUUUCGUGCGAGAGUGCAUAACUGGGUUCACUAAGAGGUAAGUGGCUCCCAAAUUGUCACAAUAAAGAGUAGGUGGUUUGGGCAAAAAAAUACCCAGUUCAGAUAGAAGUGACUGGAUCCAAAUUAACUCACACGUUGCAUGGGCCAAAGCCUUAUAUUCAGCCUCAGUGCUGGAUCUUGCAAUAGUGGCCUGUUUCUUGGAACUCCAGCAAACCAGAUUUUUACCAUAGAACACACAAUACCCUCUAGUUGAUUUUCUGUCAUCUGGACACCCGGCCCAGUCAGCAUCCGAGAAGGCAGCUAGUGUAGGAGACUGAGAUGGUGUGAUUUGGAGCCCAUAAUCCAAUGUAUGCUUGAGAUAGCAUAAAAUACGCUUAACAGAUUGCCAGUGAGAGAUACAAGGAGCGUGCAUGUACUAGCACACUCGAUUUACAGAGAAAGAUAAAUCUGGCCUGGUGAAUAACAGAUACUGUAAACUGCCCACCACACUCCGAUAUAAGGAUGGAUCUUCCAUAGAUGUAGAAUCAAAAGCAGUAAGCUUAGUAGAAGGUGACAUGGGGCUACUCACAGAGUUACAGUCGAGCAUAUUUGUUUUCUUGAGUAAAUCAAGAAUAUACUUUUUCUGAGAUAAGACAAGGUCAUGAACAUCUUGAUGGCAUUCUAUGCCCAAAAAAUAGUGAAUCGGUCCCAGAUCUUUAAUGGGAAACUCAGCACUCAACAGAGUCACAAGUUGAUCUAAUGCAAAUUGGUUUGAGCCCGUAAGUACCACAUCAUCAACAUAGACUAAGAAGUAGAUAAUAACAGACUAAUGCUGAUAGAUAAACAAUGACGUAUCAGAUUUUGAUACACAAAAACUCAAUUCAAGAAGUUUGGAACUAAGCCGUGCAUACCACGCACGAGGGGCCUGUUUAAGGCCAUAAAGGGCUCGAUUCAAUUUGCACACGUAAUGAGGAAAUUGUGGGUGAAUAAAACCCAUUGGUUGUGACAUAAAAACAUCUUCAUCAAGUGUACCGUGCAAAAAUGCAUUUUGUACAUCUAGUUGAUGUAUCGGCCAGCCAGAUAAAAUAGCAACAGAUAAUACCAACCUGAUGGAAGUAGGCUUUACCACCGGACUAAAAGUUUCUGAGUAGUCCAGUCCUUCGAGUUGGCUGUAGCCUUUGGCUACAAGGCGGGCCUUCCUGCGGUCUAUGGUGCCAUCAGACAGGUACUUUGUCUUGAAAAUCCACCAACAGCCCACGAGAUUUUGAGAGGUAUCAGGAGGAACCAAUGUCCAAGUUUUAUUGGAAAGCAAGGCAUCGAACUCAAGUUGCAUGGCCUUUCUCCAUUCGGGAAACUUAGAAGCUUCGGUGACAGAGGUGGGUUCGGCUGGAAUGACAGCAGAGGUUAUAUGGGCACGAGGGUGAGGCCACGAAAUUGUCCCGUCGGUUCGUAUUUUGGGAAAAUGUUUAUGGGAUUUUACUCUUGUUUGCAUAGGAUGAGUGGAAGAGACUAUCGGCACAGGGGAGACACGAGUUUGAGAGGAAAGAUUUUCAGAGGUAGGAGAUGAUGCCCUAGGUGAGAAAGGUAAAGGGCUGGAGUCGGGUGUGGGCUUAGUGGGUGGAGAAGGCUCAGUCUUUUGAGAAGCUGAGGUGGGCUGAGCUGAGUGUGGGCCCGAGGACAAAACAGAAGGAAUAAGUGAGUUUGAGGCAAGAUUGGGUCCAGUGGGAUUUAAGGGACGGGUUGGAGGAGAUGGUAGAGUAAAAUGAAGAGUUGGCCUGGAACUUGGAUCAGAAGAGUAAGGCCGGGAAGUGCAGGAGGAAAGAGUAGCAAAGGGGAAAAUACUUUCAUCAAAUAAAACAUCCCGAGAGAUGUAUAACCGGGCAGUGGGGAUAUGAAAACACAGGUAUCCAUGAUGAUCCGAGCUAUAGCCAAGAAAUACACAGGGAAUUGAACGAAAAUUCAACUUGUGUUUAUUAUAUGGUCUGAGGUUAGGCCAACAAAGACAACCAAAGGUUUUAAAAAAAAGUGUAAUCAGGUCGUUUGUGAAAUAAAAUUUCAAAUGGAGAUUUAUUGUGUAGAACUGGUGUAGGCAUUCGAUUUAUUAAAAAAACAGCAGUGAUAAAGGCAUCGGACCAGUAAGUCUGAGGUGUAGAAGAAUGAGCGAGUAAUGCAAGGCCAGUUUCAACAAUAUGUUGAUGUUUUCUUUCAAUGGAACCAUUUUGAGAAUGAGCAUAUGGACACGAAAGACGGUGAGAAAUUCCAGAGGAAUGUAACAAGGUAUUUAGAGAUCAAAAUUCUCCUCCCCAAUCAUACUGUAUUGCUCGAAUUUUUGUAUUAAGAAGAGUUUCUACAUGACGCUUAAAAAAUAAAAAGAUAGAGACUACAUCAGAUUUACAUUUUAAAGGAAAUAACCAAGUAAAUCUGGUAUAAUCAUCGACAAAAGACAAGUAAUAACGAAAGCCACCACGUGACAGAACUGGAGCAGGGCCCCAAACAUCUGAAAAAAGAAGCUGUAGAGGAGCAGUUGAGUGAGAUGCAGUAGGUGCAUAAGGAAGUUGGUGCAUUUUAGCUUGGCAGCAAGAAGAACAUAGACUAGAAGCUGAUGGAGAAGCUGACUUCACGGGUAGAGAGGCUUGUGAAAUUAUUUUCUGAACAACUGACAUAGAUGGAUGGCCUAAACGCAGAUGCCAUUGAGAUGGAGGGACUCGGACAGCAGUGUGAGCUUGAGGUGAGAAAAGAGCAGGAGGGAAGAUGUACAUCCCAUUGCUAGUAGGACCUUGAAGGAGUAUUUUCUUGGUGCAAAUAUCCUUCACAUAAAAACAAGAAGAGUGAAAUUCAAAAAACACUGAGCUGUCCUCACAAAGUUUUCGGACAGAAAUUAAAUUUUUAGAAAGUGAAGGAACAUGAAAAAGUUGAGGGAGUAGAAGAUUGCCAGAGGUGGAUGGAAGAGUUGAGCUGCCAACAUGUUGAAUGGGUAGAGAGUUUCCAUCUCCAACACGCACCUGUUCAUCUCCUUUGUACUCAGAUGGAUUAAUAGUUAGAUUAGAAAAAUUAUGAGUAAAGUGAUGAGUAGCCGCAAAAUCUGGAUACCAAUUGCUGUCAACUGAAGAGGCUGUGUCAUUAGUGAAAGAUGAAGCAAAAGUGAAGUGAGCUGAGAGAGAUGGAGGUGGAGGUGAUUGAUAGCUGUGAUCAAAUCUAUAGUAGCAGGAAAGAGCAGAAUGUCCGGGUCUAUUGCAAACUUGACACGACGGGCGAUGUUGGGAAAAAUAGGAUGGGGUAAACCGACCAUUAUUUCGACCUCUUGCUCGGCCUCUAUAACCUCCUCUGCCUCUAGACAUACCACGAUCCCUGGGAGUAAAGUUGGGAGAAUUUUUUGUGGUAGCAUUAACUGAAAAUUCAGGUGAAGCAGUGAGGGUGGUCUGUUGAUGGGCUAAACGUGACUCAUGAGUGAGUAGGUAACUAUAUCCUUGUGAGGGACUGAGAGGUAUGAUUUGUGUAGUGAUUGAGGUAACAACCGAAUCGAAAUCAGAUCCCAAACCAGCCACCAAAUAAGUGAUAAACUCAGAGGAGGUUAGAGUUUUACCAGUAGCUGCUAGAGUGUCACGAAGGAGCUUAGCUUUUUGAUAGUAGUCUGCAAUGGAAUCGGGUCCCUUCUUCAAAGUGUUCAGUUGAUAUUGAAGUUGCAUGACUCUGGCCUGUGACUGAGCUGCAAAUAAGUCAACCAAAAAUUUCCAUAACCUCACGUGAAGUUGAGGCAUCAAGAACAUGAGCAAUUAAAGACUCGGACAGAGAUGAGAUUAGCACACUCAUGAUAGCCUGGUCUUGUUGUUUCCAGGUUAAGUAUGCUGCACUCGGUGUUGUAGAGUUUUUGUCAAACAUCGGAGGGGUGGUAACAGACCCAUCAAUAUAACCAUAUAAAUUCUGACCUUUGAGGUAAGGUAUUAGUUGCGCCUUCUACAAAAGGUAGUUAUCAUGGUUUAGUCGAACAUUGAUACAAUGAGUAGAGGAGGGGAGGGAAAAACUUGUGCUGAAGGUAGGUGUUGAAUUUCGAGAAGGAGGUGUUUUUGUCAUGGCUGAGUGUUGUUGGAUGCAAGUCUUAUUUGGCUCUGAUACCAUAAUAGAAACACGAUAAGAGAGGAAAUGUAAAAGCUGUGUAUAUUCUUCAUAUUUAUCUGCUUGUACAGUAGUGGUAUUUAUACACAUAGUAGUCUGAUUAUUGUUGUAACCGUAAGGGUCAUAUAUGACAAUACACAACAUAUUCUAGACUAUUCUGCUCCUGAAUGUUGAGCUGGUGCAGAGGCUGAGUUGGCCUUGGCAUCUUUGGUGAUAUGGUUAACACUCCUUCACAACUUUCUUUAACUCUGGGCCAAAUCAAUUUGUGCUUGCCUUGGUUCUUAGGCAACAGGGAGCUUGGCUGGCCUAUUUUUUUUUUUUCUUUUUAAAUGUGGUCUUAAAUGGUAACUAUUACUCCCCUGCCCCAAGUCCCUGCUGAGAAGUUUCAUCAACACACAUCAUCGGCUCAUUUGCACCCUAGCUCAAUGACCAUUUGAAUUAUGACCUUUAAACAACACCAUCUCACGUGCAGUUUCCUCCUGAGAAAUUUGUUGAAACUUUUGAGGCCCAUGGAGCUUCGAUAUGGACCGAAGGACAUUGUGACAAGCAAGAUAGUCCUGUCUUAGUCCCGGGCACCUACUAUCUCACCGAAGUUGACUCAACGUACUGGUGAUUUUACACCAAGCAAUCUGACUACAUAGUAACCAAUCCUUAUAAGGCAUUAAGGCUUCUACCUUUGAUAAUGGUUCAGUAGUUGUUGCUCAAUGAUAAUUACUUGCUUGAUAAUAUCUGACUGUUCUCUCUCCCCAAGUUGAAGUGUUGUUUGUAGUGGUGUAAUUGUCCAACCAGUCUCAGUCUCUAGUUGUUUUUUUUUUUAAUCAAUGCGUCUCUUUUGAAAUAUUCAGCCAUGUUUGGCCUGUUAUUCACCGUCAGAAACCAUAAUUCUAGAUAAUUCGCACCACAUACUCUUGGCUUCAGAUUGGAAGAUAAUCCAUUACACUGUACGCUUCUUGUGAACUAUAGCCACCUAUUAUUGGGCAACAAUUUUGCUACU